UGUAGAAUUGGAAAAUGAAGCAGGACCAUGUACAGCCAUGUUUAAAGGUUCAUUUAUUUCAGUAAAUGCACAAAGUGAAACAGUUAGAAAAUAAUUGGUCUUUAUUUCUGUUAAUUAUGAUUUGUUUCUGUUAACAGCUCAUGAAAAUGUGACAUUUAAGAUUAGAAAAUGACAUCAGAUCAAUAAGAAAACAUAAUGCAGAAAAAUGGGCUUACCAAAAAGCAAUGUUUAAUACCUGUUUAAAGGUUGUUGUUUUUUUUUUUCAAAAAUAUCUGGUUUUUUUUGUUGUUGUUUUUUAAAGAAGGCAAACAAGCCUCAUCGUAUUGGGAGGAAACUAACACUGCACAUCUCCUUGAACACGGUGCCUCCACACGGUAGUGGCAGGAUCAGAGUGUGGGAGUGGGGAGGUUUCUGUUUUCCGCAGAAGUUUAGGGAGAAAUCCUGCUCUGAACUGCGCAUGUUCAAAACGAGGCCGUGGAAAGAAAACAGAAGAAGGUUCGUCUGAACUGGAAAUUAAAUACAACACAGUUUCUGUUCCAGUGACAGAGCGAUGGAGGAAAUUGAGGACAGGCUGGAUAAACAUCAGCGUCCAGGACCGAGACACUGGAUAACAGAGAGAGCAGGACACUGGACGCCGCGGCGCAGACGCCGACGGCGGCGCGAGCUUCCUGCCAGCACCGGAGCAGCGCCGACACGAGGGAAAUGUGUUUUCUAUCAGACACGCAGCGCUGCUGAGAGGCGGCAACAAAGUCGAGGAAUUAUGAGGCCAAGAAUGGGAGCUGUAAACAUUUCAUUGUGUUGCGGCUCGAGGACACGGAGACGGGCGACAAGCGCGGGGUGGACGCGGGCGCUGCCCCAUAGCCAAGCAAAGCAGCGUGGCCGCUGCGAGCGAGAGGUCACGCGAGUUCACGGGCUGGCUCAAGACGAUUCAGAGGAGAGCCGCGUUCGUCUGCUGCCGCUCGGGCCCGCUCGCUGCUUCCUUUUAACUUCAGCUCGAAAUAGAUCUUUUAAGCGCAAACCCUAAUUGCCUCUCAGAUUGAACAUAAAAUAAACGCAUGCAUACUUAUGAGCUUUCGGUGACCACAAAUUGCAGAGGGAAUAUCUGUGAUUGUGGUGUUAAACAAAGGAACAUUGCCUCUCUGCUGAGGCGCUUCGUUCUGAUGUACGCACCAAUAAAGAUAGGGUUCUUGUUUUGUG